AGUUCCCAGCCUCCCCCGGCUGCACGGACAGCCCAGUGGAGGCGGGCAGCGGGCCCGGACGCUUUCGCAGACCCCAGGAUAAAAUGCUACCUGAAUGAAAUCACGUGGGUCGGCACGAAAUUGUCAGAAGUGAUUCGAAAAGCUGUGUGUUGAUUACUGGGGAGAAGGUCUCAUGCCUUAGCUGCUGUGCAACGACAUUGCACACGGGGAGAGUGGAGACAGCGGGUAAGACCAGAAGCAGACGUGGGUCUCUGAGCUCCUGUAUCCUGAGUGAAUCCCGCUGUGUGUGACAGAAUGCUCAGCCCACCCCAGGCCACAGCACACUGAUGCCAGCCCUCACCCCAGCAAGCAGAGACAAAGCCAGACAGUUCCAAGCCUCGGAGUCACCGGGUGACCGGGUCCCCAGAGCCCCGGCCUCCUCUGGGGCCAGCCUCUGCCCCACGGACACCUCUCUGCCCUCUCCCAGGCUCUGCCCAGAGCCCAGAUGCCCGGCAGCCUGGGACACAUAGCAGCUGGGACACGGCCUCGGGUGUCCCCGGCUCCUGUUCACCCUGGUCAUCGUCACCUGCUCCCUGACCACACUGCCACUUGGUCGCAGUAUCUGCCCAGGCAGGCUGGGCGGUGCAGGGGCCAGUGAGUGAAGAAGUCAGCAGUGCCUGUGCCCCGAGGGACCCGAGCGGGAGCCUCCGUGGACAUUCUGGGCCCUUACAGUCACAGGGUGAGAGUCCCAGCCCCCCUCCAGGAGGACACACCUGUGGGAGAUUCCCGCCCUCAGGUUGGGGGCCCUGCUCUGUGUGUCACCACCAAACCCCACACUGUGGGGGACAGUCUGCAGGACGCUGGGAUCAGAGCUUUGAGAAUCGGUCCCUACAAGCUCAGAAAAGCAGAAAUGACGUGGGUUCGGACUUGUCUGCUGAGCCACCUGCAGCCCCCACUUAACUCCUGUGGUCCUGGGUUUUCUGAUCUGUAAAAUGGGUUUGUACCUCACGAUUCACUGCACAGGAUCAUUUGGCACUGAGCAAAAAGGACUUACUUGUAACAAGAGGAAUGUUUAAGAACACAUAUGAAUAUAAAUCCCCAGCUGGCAGAGGGGAUCGGGACAUAACAGGUACACGUGCGUGCGGGGGUUAACAGCAGACGUAAUGUCCUCAGGAUACCUCGACCCCGACCCCGUCCACAGAUACAGCUUCUGGGAAGGCGGGUGGGGAUCAGUGGGAACAGGGGCUCCAAGCUUAGAGCAAGGAGGCGGUGCCGGGGGGCUGCGUGGGCACAGGGACCGAGAGCCCACGGGCACGGGGACCGAGACGGAAUCCGGUGAGGAGGGACCAUCUGCACGGACCCAGCGGCCUCCAGCCGGCGAGGAGGAGACAAGCCCUGGGAGGGCAGAGAUACCUACAAGGCCUCCCGUGGCCUCAGCAAAGCACAAGAGGCCAGGAGCGUGGUACCCGAGGCGCGUGGCGGCAGAAGGCCCAGGCGGGAACCGUGCCCACCGCAGACAUGCCCUGCUGGGUACUGUCAGGCCAGCCCAGCAGCAUCGGGGGCAGGAGACGGGAGGGGGACAGGCGUCUGGAAGACCAAGUGGUUACCCCGGACGGACUCUCUCUGCUAGUGGACCAGACAAAGUUCUACACUGGCCUCGGUGAGCGUCACUCCCCAGCCCCUGGGCAGGGCUUCUGGGGGGCCAGGGAGCCUCGGGCCUCAGACCCAGUGACCCCAGCGGAGCUGAGCAGCAUCUCUGCCCGUGAGGGACGGAUAGAAUAAUGUUUCUAAAUGCAUAACAUGAAAAACAGGACAUCAUAAACUGUAUCGAAACCGUUAUUAAAAUGUUUUUUCAAUUAUGACA